UAUUAUGAGAGUUUGAUCCUGGCUCAGGACGAACGCUGGCGGCGUGCCUAAUACAUGCAAGUCGAACGCCUCUUUUC
rnacentral:rRNA from 1 species